AAAACAGAAGAUAUCAAGAACUAUAUAUUGAUCCUUAUCAUUCUGGCGACAAACCCUUAUCAUUUGUGUCAACCUGCGAUCUUUGAUCCUACGUCUCAUUGGACUACAAAUGAUUAAGCGUGAAGACUUUAAAAAAAAAUCUAAGUCUUUGUCAACUCCUGCUAAUUCUUUAUCCUUUCGUCUACUAUCUCAUACAAAUCCGGAAUCAAGGAAAUUGUGAGCACUAUAAUCUUUAUCUCCUAUGUGUCAUCUCUUGUUAAUACUAGCUUCUUGCCCUUGCACCUUAUCAUAAUACAAGAUUCAAAGAUUAAUUCUUAUCUCAUACGUUUAUCUUACCAAUUCAUCAAUCUUUAUCAUACUUUUUACCCUUUAUAUCUAUAUUUAAUCCUUUGAUCAUGUCUUGAAAGUCUCGAAACAACUUUGAUGAUCUACUUUAUCUUUCUCUCUAGUUUCUUCAAAUCUCGGGACGAGAUUUAUGUUAAGUGGGGUAGAUCUAUAACACUCCAACACUCCAAAAUUCUUAAUUUUGGAUUGUUAUUAGAAAAACACUAAAUUAAAUAAGGAUUUAAAAAUUUUCUAAAAUAUUCCAAGAUUCAUUUAAUUAUUGAAUUCAAAAAGAGAGAAAAAUGUGAAAUUUUAAAACUUUUUAUAAAGAUAAGUGAUAAGUGAAGGGUGUUUGGUUUUGAUGUGUGCUUUGUGCUCUAGUUUUGUUUGUCUGAGAAAAAUAAAUUUUCAAAAGUUCUAGCGAGCCACGUUUAGGUCCUUUCGGUUUUCGGAAAAAUAAACCUCCAAAAGUCUUAUUUGAAAACUAAUUCACAUUCGAGUUGGAGAAGUGUGUUUAAACUAAAAUAUAUUUAAAUUUCAAAAUAUCCUAACAACAAAUUCCAAAAUAAUCCCUAA
rnacentral:lncRNA from 1 species